UACGUAGGGUGCAAGCGUUAAUCGGAAUUACUGGGCGUAAAGCGUGCGCAGGCGGUUAUGCAAGACAGAGGUGAAAUCCCCGGGCUCAACCUGGGAACUGCCUUUGUGACUGCAUAGCUAGAGUACGGUAGAGGGGGAUGGAAUUCCGCGUGUAGCAGUGAAAUGCGUAGAUAUCUGGAGGAACACCGGUGGCGAAGGCGACAUCCUGGACCGGUAUUGACGCUGAGGCGCGAAAGCUAGGGGAGCGAACGGG
rnacentral:rRNA from 1 species